rnacentral:ncRNA from 1 species
UUUGAGUUUGAUUCUUGCUUAAAAUGUUCAUUAAAACAUUGAUUUAUAUGUAAAUUUAUGUAUUUUUAAAAUUUCUUAAUGGAAUUUAAAUAUAAUUUAAAGCAGUAGAUUGUAUUAUUGAUAUUAAAUUACUUUAGAUUUUGUGAAUGUUGGAAGGUUAGGCAAAAGCUGUGCCAGCAACCGCGGUUAUACGGCAUAAUCAAUUGAACAUUAUUGGUUUUUAAGUAAUUAACAUUAUGAAUUAAUAUGAGAAUUAAGAAAUUUUAAGGUGAAAUUUAUUUUUCUUGAGUUACAUAUAUAUAUAGUGUGAUUAUUGUGAAAUUGAAAUUAUAAACUAGGAUUAGAUACCCUAUUAUUUUUACUGUAAAGGAAAUUAAAACUAGAGUACUAUUAGUUAUGAUCUUUAAACUUAAAGAAUUUGGCGGUAUUAUAGUCUAUUUAAAGGAAUCUGUUAUGUAAUCGAUAGUCCACGUUGAACCUUACUUAUGUUAAUUCUUGUAUACCACUGUCUAGAUUACACUUUUAGGUGUUAUUUCUAAAUAUAUUAUUUAAUAAAAUUUCAAGUCAAGGUGCAGUGAUACGUAAGUUGAAUAAUGGAUUACAAUAAAUUUAUUUAUUACGGAUUAUUACUUAAAAGUAAUUUGAAGGUGGAUUUAAUAGUAAUUUUAUGAAGAUUGUUAAAAUGAUUUAAGCUCUAUAGUGCGCACACAUCGCCCGUCACUCUCGUUAAUAAGGCGAGAUAAGUCGUAACAGAGUAGGUGUAUCGGAAGAUGUACCUAGUAAGUA